GCAGUGGAACAACACAAAUACACAAAGAGAAGUCAAUGUGCCUACGCCAUCAAUAAGUACACAAAGUUAAAAUAAAAGUAACGUUAUUCGCUAUUGCUAUGGCAACAGUCAGAAUGUCUACAUCGAACAAUUGGGAGUUGAAAUAUUUUAAAAAGAUUGAGAAUUUUCAAGCAAAAUGUAUACUCUGUGCAUAUACUUUUACGUACUGUGAUAUGGAACCUGCAAAUUAUCAUUUCGACCAACAACAUCCAAAUGUAGAAAGAGUGAAAGUAUCUUGGUUGCAGCAGCAUUUCAACAAUUUUAGCAAUUCACGCUGGCAAUGCAAUUCUUGUCCUACAACUUAUUCGAAAGAAACUUCGAAGAAUAAAUUACGUAAACAUCUACGAAAUAUACAUAACAUAUUUCUAGCAAAAAAAGGCCUAUUUUAUAUGGGUAUUAUACAGGAGCAUAUUAAACAGCAUGAUGAUUAUAGUGCGCAGUGUAAGAAAUGUAGUCAAAUAAUAGAGUUUAGCCUUUCUUGUGUCCUAAAAAACCACAUAUUCACAAAUCAUUACAAAGUAUGGGAAGAAGAAAAUGCAAACAAAAGAAGAGAAAUCAGUAUGCCUUGGCCAUCGACAAGUACAAGAUAACUUUAAAGGCAAAAACAAUGAAUAUAUUUUGAUGACGUUUCUAUAUUCAAAAAUGAUGCUAUGGUUCGACGGUCCUACAUACGACGAGCAGAAACAACAAUCUUGACUAUAACGAUUUAUAUGAUUUAAAAUAUCUGAAAAAAACUGCCAACAUAUCUAUGA